rnacentral:rRNA from 1 species
GACGAACGCUGGCGGCGUGCUUAACACAUGCAAGUCGAACGGAAAGGCCCUGCUUUUGUGGGGUGCUCGAGUGGCGAACGGGUGAGUAAAACGUGAGUAACCUGUCCUUGACUUUGGGAUAACUUCAGGAAACUGGGGCUAAUACCGGAUAGGAGCUCCUGCUGCAUGGUGGGGGUUGGAAAGUUUCGGCGGUUGGGGAUGGACUCGCGGCUUAUCAGCUUGUUGGUGGGGUAGUGGCGUACCAAGGCUUUGACGGGUAGCCGGCCUGAGAGGGUGACCGGCCACAUUGGUACUGAGAUACGGCCCAGACUCCUACGGGAGGCAGCAGUGGGGAAUAUUGCACAAUGGGCGGAAGCCUGAUGCAGCAACGCCGCGUGCGGGAUGACGGCCUUCGGGUUGUAAACCGCUUUCGCCUGUGACGAAGCGUGAGUGACGGUAAUGGGUAAAGAAGCACCGGCUAACUACGUG